UCUCUUCUGGAGCCAUCUGGGUCCAGUGACAAGAUAAGAUCGGGACAACUGGAGAUGUCCCAGGUUCACUCUGCUUUGGCUUCUGCUGGAAGAGAUGCUAUUAACUGACUGAGGAAAUUGAAAUGACUUAACAAAACAUAGUGUAAUACAGGCCUGGAAUAUAGACUUUUCUAGUUUGGACUCUGUUCCAAAUUCUUCUGAUAAACAUGGAGAUUGAGGAAUUCCUUGGAAUGAAGAUUAGGAACUCCACCCAUAUCUUGUUCAGCAUUUGCAGAUUGCAAAGGGACAAAGGACAAAGAAAGAAAGAAAGAGAAGACUUUCUCUCCUGCAGGUCUCCUGAUGAGCCCUGGAGAAAAGAUGCAGCGCAACC